rnacentral:tRNA from 1 species
AGAAAGUUAGUCUAACCAAGACAGUUGAUUUCGACUCAACAGACCAUAGCAGGCCCUAUGACUUUCUC